AGUCCCGCAACGAGCGCAACCCUCACUUUUAGUUGCCAUCAUUAAGUUGGGCACUCUGAAAGAACUGCCAGUGAUAAGCUGGAGGAAGGUGGGGAUGACGUCAAGUCCUCAUGGCCCUUACGUGUUGGGCUACACACGUGCUACAAUGGUAUCUACAACAGGAAGCAAAACUGCGAAGUUAAGCAAAUCCCUAAAAGAUACCUCAGUUCGGAUUGCACUCUGCAACUCGAGUGCAUGAAGCUGGAAUUACUAGUAAUCGUGGAUCAGCGUGCCACGGUGAAUGCGUUCCCGGGUCUU
rnacentral:rRNA from 1 species